rnacentral:rRNA from 1 species
GGGGGGGGGGGGGGGGGGGGGGGGGGGAGGGGGGGCGGGGGAGCAGGGGAGGGGGUGGCUCCGUGGACGUGAGCGGCGGACGGGUGAGUAACACGUGGGGAACCUACCUAUAAGAGUGGGAUAACUUCGGGAAACCGGAGCUAAUACCGGAUAAUAUUUCGAACCGCAUGGUUCGAUAGUGAAAGAUGGUUUUGCUAGCACUUAUAGAUGGACCCGCGCCGUAUUAGCUAGUUGGUAAGGUAACGGCUUACCAAGGCGACGAUACGUAGCCGACCUGAGAGGGUGAUCGGCCACACUGGAACUGAGACACGGUCCAGACUCCUACGGGAGGCAGCAGUAGGGAAUCUUCCGCAAUGGGCGAAAGCCUGACGGAGCAACGCCGCGUGAGUGAUGAAGGUCUUCGGAUCGUAAAACUCUGUUAUUAGGGAAGAACAUACGUGUAAGUAACUGUGCACGUCUUGACGGUACCUAAUCAGAAAGCCACGGCUAACUACGUG